rnacentral:tRNA from 1 species
GGCGGGAUGGAGCAGGGGUUAGCUCGCGAGGUUCAUUCCCUCGAGGUCGCCGGUUCGAUCCCGGCUCCCGCGA